rnacentral:rRNA from 1 species
AGAGUUUGAUCCUGGCUCAGGAUGAACGCUGGCGGCGUGCUUAACACAUGCAAGUCGAACGGAGUGCCCUUGAAGGAGUUUUCGGACAACAGAUAGGGUUACUUAGUGGCGGACGGGUGAGUAACGCGUGAGGAACCUGCCUUGGAGUGGGGAAUAACAGCUGGAAACAGCUGCUAAUACCGCAUGAUGCAGUUGGGCCGCAUGGCUCUGACUGCCAAAGAUUUAUCGCUCUGAGAUGGACUCGCGUCUGAUUAGCUAGUUGGCGGGGUAACGGCCCACCAAGGCGACGAUCAGUAGCCGGACUGAGAGGUUGGCCGGCCACAUUGGGACUGAGACACGGCCCAGACUCCUACGGGAGGCAGCAGUGGGGAAUAUUGGGCAAUGGGCGCAAGCCUGACCCAGCAACGCCGCGUGAAGGAAGAAGGCUUUCGGGUUGUAAACUUCUUUUGUCAGGGACGAAGCAAGUGACGGUACCUGACGAAUAAGCCACGGCUAACUACGUGCCAGCAGCCGCGGUAAUACGUAGGUGGCAAGCGUUAUCCGGAUUUACUGGGUGUAAAGGGCGUGUAGGCGGGACUGCAAGUCAAAUGUGAAAACCACGGGCUCCACCUGUGGCCUGCAUUUG